UACGGAGGGUGCAAACGUUGCUCGGAAUCAUUGGGCGUAAAGCGCACGUAGGCGGCUUGUUAAGUCGGAUGUGAAAGCCCUCGGCUCAACCGAGGAAGUGCAUCGAAACUGGCGAGCUUGAAUAUGGAAGAGGGUCGCGGAAUUCCCGGUGUAGAGGUGAAAUCGUAGAUAUCGGGAGGAACACCAGUGGCGAAGGCGGCGACCU
rnacentral:rRNA from 1 species